CAUAGCUCGAGGCGCACUCCGUUGAAAGUGUAUAGGUGGCGCUAUAGAGCCAUUCUGCCACACCCGGUGGAAUAUUGGCCUGCAGAUCUGUUCAGGCCAGGACUCUUAUCACACAUGUGAAGUUUGGGGAAGAUCGGACAUUUUAUGCCUGAGUUAUAACAUCUUUUUUUCGCAUGGCGAGACAUCGAACUUCGUCGCGGCGCCAUGAACAAGCCUUUUAACGAAAACUCAAGAUCUUCACAACUGAACAUCGCACAGGCCUUUAGAUUAGACUGACCACAAAAAAGACAUUGAUGUCAUAAAAUUUCUAGGAGUAGUUCGUCGCAGCAUAAAAUAUGUCACUUCCUGUUGCCAAUAGGUGGCGCUAUGACUAUAACUGAAUAUGGGCAUGUCAAUCUGUUCAGGUUCGGAGUCUCAUCAAACAUGUGAAGUUUGGGGCAGAUUGGACAUUGUAUGUGUGAGUUAUAGCAACUUCAUUUUUCAUGGCGAAUCAUCGAAAUUCGCCAGGCCGCCACGGACACGCCCUUCAACGAAAACUCAAGAUCUUCGCAAUUUAACAUCGCAAAGGCCUUUAGAUUAGGCAUACCAAAUUUGGUGUUGAUUUGAAGAACUCUCUAGGAGGAGUUCGUUAAAAUACAACACAUGGAAAUGACCAAAAUUACACAAAAUAUGCUCAUAAUAUUAAAAAUAACCGACUUCCUGUUGGGUUUAGAAUUUCGCUCCAAGAGUCUUUUUUGUAGGUAUUGGUGUGUUACAUAUGUGUGCCAAUUUUCGUGCAUGUACGUGAAACAUAGCUGGAAGGCUGUUGAUUUCCUUGGUAUAGGUGGCGCUGUCGAGCCAUUUUGCCACACCCUCUUCUGAAUCCUAUAUCAGACGAAAAUUUUCACCAGGUUUGACGCGUGUGCAAAGUUUCAUGACUUUUUGAGCAUGUUAAAGCCCUCAAAAAUGCGAUUCAUUCGGGAGAAGAAGAAGAAGAAUAAUAAUAAAUAUAGCUGCAAGCAGCGAUGGCGGGCUCAAGCC